rnacentral:rRNA from 1 species
UGAGGAAUUUUCCGCAAUGGGGGCAACCCUGACGGAGCAACGCCGCGUGCAGGAGGACGCUUUUCGGAGUGUAAACUGCUUUUCUGUGGGACGAGCAAGGACGGUACCACAGGAAGAAGCCCCGGCUAACUACGUGCCAGCAGCCGCGGUAAUACGUAGGGGGCGAGCGUUGUCCGGAGUUACUGGGCGUAAAGGGCACGCAGGCGGUGCUGCGCGUUUCGCGUGACAGCGGAGGGCUUAACUCUCCGAGGAUGCGAAAGACGGCAGGACUUGAGGGCCAGAGAGGGACACGGAAUUCCGGGUGGAGUGGUGAAAUGCGUAGAGAUCCGGAGGAACACCGAAGGCGAAGGCAGUGUCCUGGCUGGUGACUGACGCUGAGGUGCGAAAGCUAGGGGAGCGAACGGGAUUAGAUACCCCGGUAGUCCUAGCCGUAAACGAUGACCACCAGGUGUGGGAGGUAUCGACCCCUUCCGUGCCGGAGUUAACACACUAAGUGGUCCGCCUGGGGAGUACGGUCGCAAGAUUA